rnacentral:tRNA from 1 species
GAUGUGCUAGGUUAAAAUUAUAAACCGUGGGUUUGUGGUACCUAAAAUUUUCCUUUGUGAAAGCACACCU